AUGCCUUACACAUGCAAGUCGAACGGCAGCACGGGGGCAACCCUGGUGGCGAGUGGCGAACGGGUGAGUAAUAAAUCGGAACGUGCCCGGUAGUGGGGGAUAACCAGUCGAAAGACUGGCUAAUACCGCAUACGACCUACGGGUGAAAGCGGGGGACCGUAAGGCCUCGCGCUAUCGGAGCGGCCGAUUUCCGAUUAGCUAGUUGGUGAGGUAAAGGCUCACCAAGGCGAUGAUCGGUAGCUGGUCUGAGAGGACGGCCAGCCACACUGGGACUGAGACACGGCCCAG
rnacentral:rRNA from 1 species